rnacentral:sRNA from 1 species
CCUGCCUGGUGGUAACAGCUCAUGAUGA